rnacentral:lncRNA from 1 species
UUGGUGUACUGUAUAGUUCUGGAGAUUGGAUUUCACUGUAAACCCACCAAAUGACUCCUCCCACAAUAUUAUGAUGUUCCCCAAGUUUUGGACUCAAUCCGAUAUCGAUCGGUCCACGAAAUUUGACAUUUCAGGUUCGUACGAAGUUCGUUCUGAAAUGGGGUGGUUUGUAUAUUGUAUAGUUCUAGAGAUUGGAUUUCACUCAAAACCCA